rnacentral:rRNA from 1 species
CGGUUGGAUUAGUGGCGAACGGGUGAGUAUCACGUGAGUAACCUUCCCUUAACUCUGGGAUAAGCCCGGGAAACUGGGUCUAAUACCGGAUACGACCAGUCCUCGCAUGGGGUGCUGGUGGAAAGAUUUAUCGGUUUUGGAUGGACUCGCGGCCUAUCAGCUUGUUGGUGAGGUAAAGGCUCACCAAGGCGAUGACGGGUAGCCGGCCUGAGAGGGUGACCGGCCACACUGGGACUGAGACACGGCCCAGACUCCUACGGGAGGCAGCAGUGGGGAAUAUUGCACAAUGGGCGAAAGCCUGAUGCAGCGACGCCGCGUGCGGGAUGACGGCCUUCGGGUUGUAAACCGCUUUCAGCAGGGAAGAAGCGCAAGUGACGGUACCUGCAGAAGAAGCGCCGGCUAACUACGUGCCAGCAGCCGCGGUAAUACGUAGGGCGCGAGCGUUAUCCGGAAUUAUUGGGCGUAAAGAGCUCGUAGGCGGUUUGUCACGUCUGCUGUGAAAGCCCGGGGCUCAACCCCGGGUGUGCAGUGGGUACGGGCAGACUAGAGUGCAGUAGGGGAGACUGGAAUUCCUGGUGUAGCGGUGAAAUGCGCAGAUA